AGGAGCUGAACUUCUCAGACAGAGCAGGUACAGCAUGGGCAGCAGCAGCACGCUUUGCCCAUGCCCUCAGUGCUCUAACCCUGCCCACAAGGGGAGGCAUUCUGUUACUGGCUUGUUCAAUUCCU
rnacentral:sRNA from 1 species